UACGGAGGAUGCAAGCGUUAUCCGGAUUUAUUGGGCGUAAAGAGCGUGUAGGCGGCCAAGUAGGUCCGGUGUGAAAACUCGAGGCUUAACCUCGAGAUGUCAUCGGAAACCAUUUGGCUAGAGUCCGGAAGAGGAAAGUGGAAUUCCUGGUGUAGCGGUGAAAUGCGUAGAUAUUGGGAAGAACACCGGUGGCGAAAGCGCCUUGCUGGGUCUGCACUGACACUGAGGGACGAAAGCUAGGGGAGCGAAAGGG
rnacentral:rRNA from 1 species